rnacentral:rRNA from 1 species
AACGAACGCUGGCGGCAGGCCUAACACAUGCAAGUCGAACGGUUGCAGCAAUGUAGCCGUGGCGCACGGGUGAGUAACGCGUGGGAAUGUGCCUUUUGGUACGGAAUAACAGCGGGAAACUGCUGACAAUACCGUAUACGCCCUCCGGGGGAAAGAUUUAUCGCCAAAAGAUCAGCCCGCGUCAGAUUAGCUAGUUGGUGGGGUAAUGGCCUACCAAGGCUCCGAUCUGUAGCUGUUCUGAGAGGAAGAUCAGCCACACUGGAACUGAGACACGGUCCAGACUCCUACGGGAGGCAGCAGUGGGGAAUAUUGGGCAAUGGAGGAAACUCUGACCCAGCCAUGCCGCGUGAGUGAUGAAGGCCUUAGGGUUGUAAAGCUCUUUUGCAGGGGACGAUGAUGACGGUACCCUGAGAAUAAGCUCCGGCUAACUUCGUGCCAGCCGCCGCCGUAACAC